rnacentral:rRNA from 1 species
CCUACGGGGUGCAGCAGUGGGGAAUAUUGGACAAUGGGCGAAAGCCUGAUCCAGCCAUGCCGCGUGUGUGAAGAAGGCCUUCGGGUUUUAAAGCACUUUCAGUGGGGAAGAAAGCCUUUGGGCUAAUACCCUCGAGGAAGGACAUCACCCACAGAAGAAGCACCGGCUAACUCCGUGCCAGCAGCCGCGGUAAUACGGAGGGUGCGAGCGUUAAUCGGAAUUACUGGGCGUAAAGCGCGCGUAGGCGGUCUGAUAAGCCGGUUGUGAAAGCCCCGGGCUCAACCUGGGAACGGCAUCCGGAACUGUCAGGCUAGAGUGCAGGAGAGGAAAGUAGAAUUCCCGGUGUAGCGGUGAAAUGCGUAGAGAUCGGGAGGAAUACCAGUGGCGAAGGCGGCCUUCUGGACUGACACUGACGCUGAGGUGCGAAAGCGUGGGUAGCAAACAGGAUUAGAUCCCCUAGUAGUC